AUUGAACGCUGGCGGCAUGCCUUACACAUGCAAGUCGAACGGCAGCACGGGAGCAAUCCUGGUGGCGAGUGGCGAACGGGUGAGUAAUAUAUCGGAACGUGCCCAGUCGUGGGGGAUGACGUAGCGAAAGCUACGUCAAUACUGCAUACGAUCGAUGGAUGAAAGCGGGGGAUCGCAAGACUGCGCGCGAUUGGAGCGGCCGAUAUCAGAUUAGGUAGUUGGUGGGGUAAAGGCUCACCAAGCCGACGAUCUGUAGCUGGUCUGAGAGGGCGACCAGCCACACUGGGACUGAGACACGGCCCAGACUCCUACGGGAGGCAGCAGUGGGGAAUUUUGGACAAUGGGCGCAAGCCUGAUCCAGCAAUGCCGCGUGCAGGAUGAAGGCCUUCGGGUUGUAAACUGCUUUUGUACGGAACGAAAAGGCUCUGGUUAAUACCCGGGGCUCAUGACGGUACCGUAAGAAUAAGCACCGGCUAACUACGUGCCAGCAGCCGCGGUAA
rnacentral:rRNA from 1 species